AUCGGAGGUUCGAAGACGAUCAGAUACUGUUGUAGUUCCGACCAUAAACGAUGCCGACUGGCGAUCCGGCGGCGUUAUUCCCAUGACCCGCCGGGCAGCUCCCGGGAAACCCAAGUCUUUGGGU
rnacentral:ncRNA from 1 species